GUGGGAGGAUUGCUUGAGGCCAGGAGUUUGAGGUUACAGUGAGCUAUGAUCAUGCAACUGCACUCCAGCCUGAGUGACAGAGCAAGACCUUGUC
ensembl:miRNA